CUACGGGUUGCACCAGUGGGGAAUAUUGGACAAUGGGGGAAACCCUGAUCCAGCGAUGCCGCGUGUGUGAAGAAGGCCUACGGGUUGUAAAGCACUUUAGGUGGGGAGGAGAAGCGUAUAUUGAAAAAGUAUACGUGGAGACGAUACCUGCAGAAUAAGCACCGGCUAACUCUGUGCCAGCAGCCGCGGUAAGACAGAGGGUGCAAGCGUUAAUCGGAAUGACUGGGCGUAAAGGGCGCGUAGGUGGUAAGAGAAGUUGGAUGUAAAAGACCUAAGCUUAACUUGGGAAGAGCAUCCAAAACUAGCUUACUAGAGUUUGGAAGAGGGAAGCGGAAUUUCCAGUGUAGCGGUGAAAUGCGUAGAUAUUGGAAAGAACACCAGAGGCGAAGGCGGCUUCCUGGUCUAGAACUGACACUGAGGCGCGAAAGCGUGGGGAGCAAACAGGAUUAGAUACCCCAGUAGUC
rnacentral:rRNA from 1 species